rnacentral:rRNA from 1 species
GUAGCAAAGUAAAUUGUGUUUUAAUUGAAGACGGGCAUGAACGGUUUAACUAGGGGGCUUUAUUUUUAGGCAGUGUGAUUAAUUUCUGGUUUAAGUAAAAAUACUUGAAUGCUUAAAAGGGACGACAAGACCCUAAAAGUUUUAUUUUAUCUCUUUUAUUAAUAUUAGAGGUAAUAGAUAGGUUAGAGCUGGAGUUUAAUUGGGGUAAUUGGUUUAUUUAAAUUAAAGUGAGUUUGAACUUGAGAGGAUUAACGGUCCUUUAUAUGGGGAUUAAUAGGGACAAUUACUUUAGGGAUAACAGCGUGAUACUCCCGGAAAGGUCUUAUUAAUGGGUGUGAUUGCGACCUCGAUGUUGAAUUAAAGAGUCUAUACGAAGCAUAAGGCGUAUUAGAAGGUUUGUUCAACCUUUAAAAUUUU